UUGCAAUACGGAAAUGGUGUCCUUCCGAUUCAACCGCUUUUUUCAAAAGCUGAUGGCGCCUACAAUAGA
rfam:Pedobacter sp. Leaf194 contig_2, whole genome shotgun sequence.